rnacentral:RNase_P_RNA from 1 species
GCAGUAACCGGUUCUAUCGCCCAGGUAAGCAUGCGUUUACCGGGGAGGAAAGUCCGGGCAACAACGGGUGCCGUACUGCUGAAAAGCAGAUAUCCGCGAGGGUAUAGAAGCAAAGAAGAAAAUAACCGUCCGUCUGAAUCACCGAAAGGGAAGAAGGUGGAUAAGGGUGAGAAGGUGAGGUAAGAGCUCACCAGUGCAGCAGGUGACUGUUGCUGCUGUUUGCCUUACGGGUUGCAAGGCCACGUAUACCGGUGUUUGAAGAUGACCCGUCUGAACCGGGGGGUGGGCCGCUCAGAUAAAUGAUAGAAAAUCUGCCGUUCAUAUGAAGCGGCAGAUUACAGAACCCGGCUUAUACGGUUACUGUUAAA